rnacentral:lncRNA from 1 species
GUUUAGGAAGCCUGUCUUGGUAACUCCCAACUACCAAAUCGUGAGAUUUUUCUGAAAAGUCAGAAGAGGCUGCCUGGAGUCCUCCCUCCUCUUCGCUAGAGAGACCUUUAAACCUGGCCUGCAUCCCAACGUCCUCCCGGGGAAACCUGAAGUGAGGUUGGAAGGGCACAGAGUCUCCACGUUUGGGCUCAGCCUCUUACCGUAAGAAAGUGUAGGUGACUCGAAAUGGUCUUUGCAGUUUUCAGUGGCGCCCUUGACCCACGAGUAACCUAUACAGGAAAGGCGAAGUGGCUACUUAACUCACAGGUCGCAGCUCCCUUCUAGGAUUCCGGGAAAGCUGCUAGCGACAUCCAGCGUGCCUGCCUCUCCUUCCUUCCUUCUUUGGAGCUUGAUCCCUAGUUUGAGCCCCAGCAACCACCUUCAGAUCCUCCGGCUAGGCCCUGCCUCUGCAGAGAGCAUCGCGGGGGUGUUGAGUCCGCAUGUAGUGACCUCAGCAGGGUCGGGAGAGAACAGGUGAGACCCUCCGUGUGCAGCGAUGCAGAGCUGGCCUGGCCUACGCAGGAAGCGAGUACAAGGCAGUGACAGGCGGAAGAAAUCUUUACUCUUUCCAGCACCCCUCCCUCAUUUUGUAAGCCGUUUGUUUCCAGGAGCUUUAUGUAACCUCAGUACAAAUUGGAGCACCAAGAUCUGCAGGCUUUGCCUCAAGAAUAUCAGCAUCAGAGCCCUUCUCCUGACCCCAAGGACUUCAGGGAUGAUCUGGAAGCUUUCAGGGUGUGACUGCUGUCUUAAGGCAGCAUUGGAGAGGAGCAAUGACAAGGAGUAGGGGAGCAACCUAAAGCAAAGUGCAAUGUGGGUUGUAUAUGAAAAUAUAGUGAUGAAAUCCACUAUUCUGUAUGAUAACUAAACAUUUUAAUAAAGGAAGAAAAACAACACAAGUCCAGGGUCAAGUGGAAAGCAAUAAACUAAACUAUAAAUCCCCCUGUGCCCAGUGUGGUGGUGUACCUGCACUGACUCCCCUGGUCACUACUCUGUCACACACAAAAGUAGCCUCUCUAUAAUCAUCAAUCUGUCCUUUGAUGGAGCACACUAGCAGCUGCAGGCUAGGUGUCCUCCUAAUGCCACAGCAUUGAAGCCACUUCAGAGAGAAUAUAAAGGCAGAGGUUUUCACUCUUGGAAGUAAGCCUAAAGAUCAUCUGGUCUACCCACAGCAGUUCACAGAUGACAGGAACUGAGAGAAGACAAAGAACCACUCCCCAAGGAAGAGCCCAGACUGGAGCUCUUCUUCAUAGCCCUGGGUCUAACACAUCUGUGAUGGCAGGGUCCCUUCUCCCUGUGAGAUAAAUUAGGUUCCACAUAGUUUAAUAAAGCAUACUACUGAAUGCCAUCAUUUAUAUUUAUAUUUGAUAUUUUCAUCAUUGUAAUAAGUCCUAUAAAUAAAAGGUAAAUGACAUUGUCA